CUGCAGUUGGGUCCUGGCAGGUUUGGGUUCUCACUGAGACCCCCACAAAUGGGGGCACCACAUUUGGGUCCUGGCAGGUUUGGGGUCUCACUGCGACCCCCACAAAUGGGGGGAUCUGAGGAUGGGGCCGCGAGCAUCGAACGCAGCGUCUCCAUGGCAACGGCGACGCCAUGGCAACGGAGAUGCACAGCGCGUGGAAACCCCGGAAAUGGGGGGGGGCGCCCCGAUUUGGGGGGGGACAGAACCCCAAUAUAUGGGGACACGGAACCCCAGUUAUAGGGACACUGCGCCGUGAUAUAUGGGGACACAGCACCCCGAUAGUGGGGCGCAGCACCCAUAUAUGAGGGGACACAGCACCCCAAUCUAUAGGACACAGUACCCCGAUAUAUGGGGACAGAGCACCCUGAUAUGGGGGUGCAGCACCCUGAUAUAUGGGAACACAGCACCCCGAUAUAUGGGACACAGCACCCCGAUAUAUGGGACACAGCACCCCAAUGUAUGGGGCCACAGCACCCCAAUCUAAAGGGACACAGCACCCCAGUGUAUGGGGACACAGCACCCCGAUAUUGGAAAGGGACACAGCCCCCCAGUGUAUGGGGACACAGCACCCCGAUAUUGGGGCGCAGCACCCCAAUGUAUGGGGACACAGCACCCCAAUCUGUAGGGACACAGCACCCUGAUAUAGGGGAGACAGCACCCUGAUGUACGGAGACACAGCACCCCAAUAGGGACACUGCACCCUGAUAUAUGGGAACACAGCACCCCAAUCUAUAGGGGCACAGCACCCCGAUAUUGGGGCGCAGCACCCUGAUAUAUGGGAACACAGCACCCCGAUAUAUGGGACACAGCACCCCAAUAUAUGGGGACACAGCACCCCAAAAUAUGGGGACGGACCACCCUGAUAUUGGGGCACAGCACCCCAAUGUAUGGGACACAGCACCCUGAUAUAUGGGGACACAGCACCCCGAUAUAUGGGAACACAGCACCCCAAUCUUUAGGGGGGGGCUGGGAAAAGUGCCAUCAGUGCGGGGCCGCCCUGCUUGGUUGGCACGUGGCACAGCCACACCGUGUGCCAGCACCGAGUCCUUGCCAUGCCUGCGUGGCCACGAGCCACAUCUGGGCUCUGUGCCAUCAGCAUGAGGUUGCCAUGCUCGGUGGCCACGUGCCACAUCCACCUUGUGUGCCACUGCCGUGUUGUUGCCAUGCUCGGUGGCCACGUGCCACAUCUGUGCCCUGUGCCAUCACCACGAGGUUGCCAUGCUUGGUGGCCACGUGCCACAUCCAUCCUGUGUGCCACUGCCGUGUUGUUGCCAUGCUUGGUGGCCACGUGCCACAUCUGUGCUGGGUUUCCCGUCUUCGGUGGCCACGUGCCCCAUCCCCCCUGUGUGCCACUGCCAUGUUGUUGCCGUGCCCACGUGGCCACGUGCCACAUCUGUGCCCUGAGCCAUCACCACAAGGUUGCCAUGCUUGGUGGCCACGUGCCACAUCUGUGCCCUCUGCCAUCACCACGAGGUUGCCAUGCUCCUGGCCACAUGCCACAUC
rnacentral:lncRNA from 1 species